GAUGAACGCUGGCGGCGUGCUUAACACAUGCAAGUCGAGCGGAAAGGCCACUUCGGUGGUACUCGAGCGGCGAACGGGUGAGUAACACGUGAGUAAUCUGCCCCUGGCUUUGGGAUAGCCACCGGAAACGGUGAUUAAUACCGGAUACGAACACUUCUCGCAUGGGAUGGUGGUGGAAAGUUUUUCGGCCAGGGAUGUGCUCGCGGCCUAUCAGCUUGAUGGUGAGGUAAUGGCUCAUCAUGGCUUCGACGGGUAGCCGGCCUGAGAGGGUGACCGGUCACACUGGGACUGCGACACGGCCCAGAGUCCUACGGGAGGCAGCAGUGGGAAAUAUGGGACAAUGGGCGGAAGCCUGAUCCAGCAACGCCGCGUGAGGGAUGACGGCCUUCGGGUUGUAAACCUCUUUCGCCUGUGACGAAGCGCAAGUGACGGUAACAGGUAAAGAAGCACCGGCCAACUACGUGCCAGCCGCCGCUGUAACAC
rnacentral:rRNA from 1 species